UGGGGAAUCUUGGACAAUGGGCGCAAGCCUGAUCCAGCCAUGCCGCGUGAGUGAAGAAGGCCUUAGGGUUGUAAAACUCUUUCGCCGGAGAAGAUAAUGACGGUAUCCGGAGAAGAAGCCCCGGCUAACUUCGUGCCAGCAGCCGCGGUAAUACGAAGGGGGCUAGCGUUGUUCGGAAUUACUGGGCGUAAAGCGCACGUUAGGCGGGUCUGUAAGUAGAGGGUGAAAUCCCAGGGCUCAACCCUGGAACUGCCUUCUAGACUGCAGGCCUGGAGGUCAGGAGAGGCGAGCGGAAUUCCGAGUGUAGAGGUGAAAUUCGUAGAUAUUCGGAGGAACACCAGUGGCGAAGGCGGCUCGCUGGACUGAUACUGACGCUGAGGUGCGAAAGCGUGGGGAGCAAACAGGAUUAGAUACCCGUGUAGUCCCUGAGCGGGCUGGCAAGGCGCAU
rnacentral:rRNA from 1 species